rnacentral:rRNA from 1 species
CUCCUACGGGAGGCAGCAGUGAGGAAUAUUGGUCAAUGGGCGCAGGCCUGAACCAGCCAAGUAGCGUGAAGGAUGACUGCCCUAUGGGUUGUAAACUUCUUUUAUAUGGGAAUAAAGUUUUCCACGUGUGGAAUUUUGUAUGUACCAUAUGAAUAAGGAUCGGCUAACUCCGUGCCAGCAGCCGCGGUAAUACGGAGGAUCCGAGCGUUAUCCGGAUUUAUUGGGUUUAAAGGGAGCGUAGGUGGACAGUUAAGUCAGUUGUGAAAGUUUGCGGCUCAACCGUAAAAUUGCAGUUGAUACUGGCUGUCUUGAGUACAGUAGAGGUGGGCGGAAUUCGUGGUGUAGCGGUGAAAUGCUUAGAUAUCACGAAGAACUCCGAUUGCGAAGGCAGCUCACUGGACUGCAACUGACACUGAUGCUCGAAAGUGUGGGUAUCAAACAGGAUUAGAUACCCAGGUAGUCCACACAGUAAACGAUGAAUACUCGCUGUUUGCGAUAUACAGUAAGCGGCCAAGCGAAAGCAUUAAGUAUUCCACCUGGGGAGUACGCCGGCAACGGUGAAACUCAAAGGAAUUGACGGGGGCCCGCACAAGCGGAGGAACAUGUGGUUUAAUUCGAUGAUACGCGAGGAACCUUACCCGGGCUUAAAUUGCAAAUGAAUAAUCUGGAAACAGGUUAGCCGCAAGGCAUUUGUGAAGGUGCUGCAUGGUUGUCGUCAGCUCGUGCCGUGAGGUGUCGGCUUAAGUGCCAUAACGAGCGCAACCCUUAUCUUUAGUUACUAACAGGUCAUGCUGAGGACUCUAGAGAGACUGCCGUCGUAAGAUGUGAGGAAGGUGGGGAUGACGUCAAAUCAGCACGGCCCUUACGUCCGGGGCUACACACGUGUUACAAUGGGGGGUACAGAAGGCAGCUACCUGGUGACAGGAUGCUAAUCCCAAAAGCCUCUCUCAGUUCGGAUCGAAGUCUGCAACCCGACUUCGUGAAGCUGGAUUCGCUAGUAAUCGCGCAUCAGCCAUGGCGCGGUGAAUACGUUCCCGGGCCUUGUACACACCGC